GCAACUCCAGGCCCUCCUUGGUAACUGAGACCAGACUCUUCCCAUCAAACUCCUUGAGCUGCUGCAUGCAUUACUCGUCGAUAGGCUCUGUCGUAUACACUACCUCGAAGCCCCGUUUUGUACUUGCUCCACAAAAGCAGAGUUGGCAAGCUGUUCUUUGCUCUCACCAGUGAUGUAAUAGAUGGACUUCUGAGUCUCCUUCAUAUGGCACACGUACUCUGAAAGAGAAGUCAUCUCAUCUCCAGACUGGGAAGUGUGGUAACGCAGCAGCUCAGAAAGGCGGCACCGGUUAGUGGAAUCUUCAUGGAUUCCAAGCUUUAGGUUUUUAGAGAACACCUCAUAGAAUUUCUUAUAGUUUUCCUUGUCUUCUGACAAUUCAGAGAAGAGCUCAAGGCACUUCUUCACAAUAUAUUUGCAAAUGACCUUCAAGAUUUUGCUCUGCUGGAGCAUUUCUUGGUAGAUAUUCAGGGGCAGGUCCUCGGAGUCAACCACACCAUGGAUGAAGUUGUCCAUGAUGAACACAUAGCGGACAUAGAGUUUGAUGUUCUUUUUCUUCUUGUUUUCAAAGAGGUCAAAAGAGCCCGAUGAGGGAUGAACAGCAAUGCCCUGAAUUCCAGCUGACCUUCUACAGAGAAGUGCUUGACUGCCAGAUGGAGGAUCACUUUGGUACCCCGGCCAAUGGGCUCACCAUGGUCUGCACAUACAGUGAAAGAACCCCCAGCAGAAGACUCCCAUGCAUACUGCUCAUCAUCAUUGUGUUUUGUGAUAACAACCACUUUAUCUGCCACCAGAUAAGCAGAAUAAAAGCCAACACCAAACUGUCCAAUCAUGGAGAUGUCUGCACCAGCCUGAAGAGCCUCCAUGAAUGCUUUAGUGCCAGUGGCAAUGGUNAAGUUAUUUAUGAGAUCAGCUUUGGUCAUACCAAUGCCUGUGUCCACCAGAGUCAGGGUGCAUUCCUGGGGGUUAGGGAUGAUGUCAAUUUUCAGCUCUUUACCGCUGUCCAACUUGGAAAAGUCUGUCAGGCUUUAGUAGCGAAUCUUGUCCAAGGCAUCAGAAGCAUUACUGAUCAACUCUUGAAGAAAAAUUUCCUUGUUAGAAUAGAAGGUAUUGAUGAUGAGGGACAUGAGCUGGGCAAUUUCUGCCUGGAAGGCAAAAGUCUCCACCUCCUCCUCUCCAUGGUGCACUUCCUCAGGCAUCUUAAAGGAGAAGAGCUGCGAGCACUACAGACCACGGUGGGCAGGGACUGCGUCCGGCUACAAUGCCACACCAAGGCUGCGUGAGGGUGACUCCUCAGAGUCGUCUUAAUGUUUGUUUUGGAUUUAAUGUCCAAGGGUUUUGUUUGUAAAAACAGGAACAUGGAAAAAUUUUGAAAAAAAAAACAGGAAAAAUGAUGUCUAUCUUCCUGAUAGCAACAGUCCCUCUAAAAGCUUUACUCUCUUAUAACAAGACAUGGAAAACUUCUCAUCAGAAAUCCCACACUCCUUGAUUUUAAAAGCAAACCUUCAGCAUGAACUUCAGUGCUUCCAAUUAACAUUGAUUUAACUAUUUUGCCUCAAAAAUGAUGAGAUAAAAUAUUUUAGAAGAUCUCUUCACUAAUAUUGAGAGCAUCAGAUCAAUCCCAUUCUUUUUUUAUUCACCGUGCCCCUAUUUGAAUUCUCUGGUAAAUACCAUACUGAUUUUUUUUGAGGCAUCUAGAUUUGAGCUUUAAGAGUCGUUGGCUUCACUGUCAUGUUUAUUCACCCAACUAAUAAAUGUAAGUCAUGUCUAGUCUUCA
rnacentral:lncRNA from 1 species